AGGGCUGUAGCUCAGUGGUAGAGCAUCUGUCUUGCAUGCAGAAGGUUCCAGGUUCAAUCCCUGGCAUCUCCU